rnacentral:rRNA from 1 species
CAAGUCGAACGGGAUCCAUGUUGUAGCAAUACUUCGGAAGAUCUAGUGGCGAACGGGUGAGGAACACGUGAGAAACCUGCCCCGGACUUUGGGAUAACAGUUGGAAACGAUUGCUAAUACCGAAUGCCGUCGCGAAGUGGCAUCACUUUGCGACGAAAGAAUUUCGGUCCGGGAGGGUCUCGCGGCCUAUCAGCUAGUUGGUGGGGUAACGGCCUACCAAGGCAUCGACGGGUAGCUGGUCUGAGAGGAUGAUCAGCCACACUGGGACUGAGACACGGCCCAGACUCCUACGGGAGGCAGCAGUGGGGAAUCUUGUGCAAUGGGCGCAAGCCUGACACAGCAACGCCGCGUGCGGGAAGAAGGCCUUCGGGUCGUAAACCGCUUUCAGCAGGAACGAAAAUGACGGUACCUGCAGAAGAAGGUGCGGCCAACUACGUGCCAGCAGCCGCGGUGACACGUAGGCACCAAGCGUUGUCCGGAUUUAUUGGGCGUAAAGAGCUCGUAGGCGGUUCAGCAAGUCGGGUGUGAAAACUCUGGGCUCAACCCAGAGCCUGCACCCGAAACUGCUGUGACUAGAGUUCGGUAGGGGAGCGGGGAAUUCCUAGUGUAGCGGUGAAAUGCGCAGAUAUUAGGAGGAACACCGGUGGCGAAGGCGCCGCUCUGGGCCGAUACUGACGCUGAGGAGCGAAAGCGUGGGUAGCAAACAGGAUUAGAUACCCUGGUAGUCCACGCCGUAAACGUUGGGCACUAGGUGUGGGUCUCUAACCAACGAGAUCCGCGCCGUCGCUAACGCAUUAAGUGCCCCGCCUGGAGAGUACGGUCGCAAGACUAAAACUCAAAGGAAUUGACGG